GGGUGACGGCGACGCCGGGGAUAGCGAACCUGGCGUCGUAAACCCCGACGCUGGUCCGAACGCCAG
rnacentral:ribozyme from 1 species